UGGCCUACGGGGGGCAGCAGUGGGGAAUAUUGCACAAUGGGGGAAACCCUGAUGCAGCGACGCCGCGUGAGUGAAGAAGUAUUUCGGUAUGUAAAGCUCUAUCAGCAGGGAAGAAGAAGGACGGUACCUGAGUAAGAAGCCCCGGCUAACUACGUGCCAGCAGCCGCGGUAAUACGUAGGGGGCGAGCGUUAUCCGGAAUUACUGGGUGUAAAGGGAGCGCAGGCGGUGCGGCAAGUCUGAUGUGAAAGCCCGGGGCUCAACCCCGGGACUGCAUUGGAAACUACCGAACUAGAGUGUCGGAGAG
rnacentral:rRNA from 1 species